AUUGAACGCUGGCGGCAUGCCUUACACAUGCAAGUCGAACGGCAGCACGGGUGCUUGCACCUGGUGGCGAGUGGCGAACGGGUGAGUAAUACAUCGGAACGUACCUUAUCGUGGGGGAUAACGCAGCGAAAGCUGUGCUAAUACCGCAUACGCCCUGAGGGGGAAAGCGGGGGAUCGAAAGACCUCGCGCGAUUAGAGCGGCCGAUGCCUGAUUAGCGUGUUGGUGGGGUAAAAGCCCACCAAGGCGACGACCAGUAGCUGGUCUGAGAGGACGAUCAGCCACACUGGGACUGAGACACGGCCCAGACUCCUACGGGAGGCAGCAGUGGGGAAUUUUGGACAAUGGGGGCAACCCUGAUCCAGCAAUGCCGCGUGAGUGAAGAAGGCCUUCGGGUUGUAAAGCUCUUUUGUCAGGGAAGAAACACCGGCUCUAACACAGUCCGGGAAUGACGGUACCUGAAGAAUAAGCACCGGCUAACUACGUGCCAGCCGCCGCAGUAA
rnacentral:rRNA from 1 species